rnacentral:rRNA from 1 species
AAAAGCUACUAAGAGCACAUGAUGAAUGCCUUGGUGCCAACAGGCUAAGAAGGACGUGAUAAGCUGCGAUAAGUCACGGUUAGCGGCAAAUACGCUAUAACCCGUGAAUCUCCGAAUGGGGUAACCCGGCUGGAUUAAUAUUCAGUCACCACUGUGUGAAUACAUAGCACAGUGCGAGCAAUACCUGGUGAAGUGAAACAUCUCAGUAACCAGAGGAAAAUAAAACGAAAGUGAUUCCGUAAGUAGUGGCGAGCGAAAGCGGAGAAGCCCAAACCUAGAAGCUUGCUUCUAGGGGUUGUAGGACCCCGACAUGGUAGUUAGGAGGUUAGGCGAAGCGUAUGGAAAAACGCUCCACAGAGGGUGACAGACCCGUAACCGAAAACCAAAUAACACCUAGGGAGUUCCUGAGUAAUGCGUCACACGUGAAACGACGCAUGAAUCCACGCCGACCACGGCGUAAGGCUAAAUACUAGUUGGCGACCGAUAGUGAACAAGUACCGCGAGGGAAAGGUGAAAAGAACCGCUGCGAGCGGAGUGAAAUAGUACCUGAAAUCAUGUGCUUACAAGGUGUCAGAGCCCGCAAGGGUGAUGGCGUGCCUUUUGCUUAAUGAGUCUGCGAGUUAGUGUUUGUGGCGAGUCUAAGCCCCUCUGGGGCGGAGGCGAAGCGAAAGCGAGUCCGAAAUGGGCGAAUAGCUGCGGGCACUAGACCCGAAGCCGAGGUGAUCUACCUAUGGCCAGGUUGAAGCGUCAGUAACAUGACGUGAAGGACCGAACCGAUGGGCGUUGAAAAGCCCCCGGAUGAGCUGUAGGUAGGAGCGAAAGACUAAUCAAACCCGGUGAUAGCUGGUUCUCCCCGAAAUCUAUUGAGGUAGAGCCUCGUAUGCUGACCUGCGGAGGUAGAGCACUGGAUGAACUAGGGCCCAUACCCGGGUACCGAAUUCAAUCAAACUCCGAAUGCCGCAGGGUGAAAUACGGGAGGCAGAAUGCGAGGGAUAAGCUUCGUAUUCGAGAGGGAAACAACCCAGACCAGCAGCUAAGGUGCCUAAAUAUUGCUAAGUGGAAAGGAUGUGGAGUUACUUAAACAGUGAGGAUGUUGGCUUAGAGGCAGCCAUCAUUUAAACAGUGCGUAAUAGCUGACUCAUCGAGUGAUUCUGCGCCGAUAAUGAUUGGCGAUAAGCAAUAUACCGAAGCUCUGGAUGCUAGUUUACUAGCGUGGUAGGGGAGCGUUCCCACCGCAUCGAAGCAGUCGGGUAACCGUAUUGUGGAGUGGUGGGAAGUGAGGAUGCAGACAUGAGUAGCGAUAAGACAGGUGUAAUCCCUGUCCGCCGUAAACCCAAGGUUUCCUGGGGAAGGUUCGUCCUCCCAGGGUUAGUCGGGUCCUAAGUCGAGGCCGAUGGGCGUAGACGAUGGUAAGCAGGUUUAAUAUUCCUGCACCGCCGAAAUUUAAACCAGAAUGACGCGGGGUUGGAGAAGAGCGGGGUGAUGAAUGUCCCCGUCGCGCAAGCGGAUGCUAAGGCUUCGGCCAAGGUAGAUUCUUUAAAAACUCCGCCUAGAAAAGCUCUGGCGUAUACUAAGGCGCCCGUACCGUAAACCGACACAGGUGGGUGGGCAUAAGUGUGCCAAGGCGCGUGAGUGAAACCUCGUUAAGGAACUCGGCAAUCUAGCCCCGUAACUUCGGAAGAAGGGGUGCCCAGAAAUGGGUCGCAGUGAAAUGGGUCAACCGACUGUUUAACAAAAACACAGCACUCUGCAAAGUUUUAUGACGACGUAUAGGGUGUGACACGUGACCAAUGCGGAAAGAUUACGGUAAGAGGUUAGCCGCAAGGCGAAGCUUCGAGCUCAAGUCCCCGUGAAUGUCGGCCGUAACUAUAACGGUCCUAAGGUAGCGAAAUUCCUUGUCGGGUAAGUUCCGACCUGCACGA